rnacentral:rRNA from 1 species
GCAUGGACGGAUGCUUGACUCGACGCACACCGUCGUUGUGAGGAUGACAGGAUCUUUGUUUGUACACCUCUUUCAGGAAGGAAGAAAAUGACGGUACCUCCACAAGAACCCCCGGCCUACUACGUGCCAGCCGCCGCGGUAAUUCGGGGGGGGCGAGCGUUGUCCGGAUUUGUUGGGCGUAAACAGCUCGGAGGCGGUUCAACAAGUCCGUCGUAAAACUUCGGGGCUCCACCCUGAGAUGUCCAUCGAUACUGUUGUGACUAUGAUACGGAAGAGGUGAGUGGAAUUCCUAGUGUAGCGAUGAAAUGCGUAAAUAUUCGGAAGAACACCUAUUGCGAAGGCACCUCACUGGGCCGCUAUCGACGCUGAGGAACGAAAGCUGGGGGAGCAAACAUGAUUAAAUACCCUGGUACUCCUAGCUGUAAACGAUGGAUACUAGACGUAAGAACUGGAUUGACUGUUUCUGUGUCGUAACUAACGCGUUAAUUAUCCCGCCUGGGGAGUACGGUCGCAAUACUAAAACUCAAAGGAAUUGGCGGAG